GACGAACGCUGGCGGCGUGCUUAACACAUGCAAGUCGAACGAUGAAGAAAAGAAUUGAAGCUUCGGCAGAAAUUCAUUUCGGAUUAGUGGCAGACGGGUGAGUAACCCGUGAGCAACCUACCUCUUACAAAGGGAUAGCCUCGGGAAACCGGGAUUAAUACCAUAUAACAUUGCGACGAAGCAUUUCGAUGCAAUCAAGGCUACGGCGGUAAGAGAUGGGCUCGCGUCCCAUUAACCAGAUGGUGAGGUAACGGCUCACCAUAGUAACGAUGGGUAACCGGCCUGAGAGGGUGAACGGUCACACUGGAACUGAGACACGGUCCAGACUCCUACGGGAGGCAGCAGUGGGGAAUAUUGCACAAUGGAGGGAACUCUGAUGCAGCGACGCCGCGUGAGUGAUGAAGGAAUUCGUUUCGUAAAACUCUGUUCUAUGGGAAGAAAAGGACUGUACCAUAGGAGAAAGCUCCGGCUAAAUACGUG
rnacentral:rRNA from 1 species